rnacentral:ncRNA from 1 species
CUUAUCGAGAGCGGUGGAGGGAACGGCCCGAUGAAGCCCGGCAACCUGCGGCAGCAAGGUGCCAAAUCCGGCGGUGAGAAUCGAAAGAUGAGG